UACGGAGGGAGCUAGCGUUGUUCGGAAUUACUGGGCGUAAAGCGCGCGUAGGCGGCUUUGUAAGUUAGAGGUGAAAGCCCGGGGCUCAACCCCGGAAUUGCCUUUAAGACUGCAUCGCUUGAAUCCGGGAGAGGUGAGUGGAAUUCCGAGUGUAGAGGUGAAAUUCGUAGAUAUUCGGAAAAACACCAGUGGCGAAGGCGGCUCACUGGACCGGCAUUGACGCUGAGGUGCGAAAGCGUGGGGAGCAAACAGG
rnacentral:rRNA from 1 species